rnacentral:rRNA from 1 species
UACAGAGGGGGCAAGCGUUAUUCGGAAUUAUUGGGCGUAAAGGGCGCGUAGGCGGCCUGGCAAGUGGAAGGUGAAAUCCCUCGGCUUAACCGAGGAACUGCCCUCCAAACUGCUUGGCUUGAGACCGGGAGAGGUGAGUGGAAUUCCCAGUGUAGCGGUGAAAUGCGUAGAUAUUGGGAGGAACACCUGUGGCGAAAGCGGCGCACUGGACCAUAACUGACGCUGAGGCGCGAAAGCUAGGGGAGCAAACAGG